AAAGGUAAUCUGUCAAAAAAACUAAUAAAAACAACAUUCACAAAAUUCUAGUGAUUACAAACCAAGUAGAUAUACGUAUAUUGGAAAAAUAAACUUAAAACUUACCUCUUCUUGGUCAUCAUUGGUCUCAUUCUCCUCAUUGUCAGCGUUAAUAAUGUACUCGUCCCCUUCAUCCGAUGCAGCCUGUUGUGGUAAGGCUGACAUAACCGUCAUGACUGGCUGCGCAUCUCCCUUGGCUUGAAAAUAGUAGUGACCGGCUUGAUCGACAAAGAUAUAAAUGCUACAUGAAAUCACUAGCACUGAAGACGAGUGUACUGUGUGCACUCCAGACUGUUUCAAACCAUUUCAGAUAGCUUUUGCCAGAAAAUACAAGUACCAAUUGUGGCCAGCACUGAUUCUGGGCAAAGCACAGUUCCAAAAAGGGUACAGAGUGUAUUUUUUUCGAAGCAAAGAUAUUUUGGAUGUCCCUUUAAACAAUGUCUUAACAGAUAUUGAGUUUUUACUAGGAAAGGAAGUUAGUUUCAAAAGAAACGGUUGUUUUAAGAAGGGAAUUCUACAGAGUAUCACUUCAAACUUGGCUACUAUAUCACCAAAGUUUUAUAUAGUAUCUAAAAAGGGAAUUGUAUAUGAUGUGUCGUUUUUUAAUGUUUAUUUAACUACAAAACAAGCUGAUGAAGUUUUAAGUUUUGUCAGUAAUUAGGGAGAGUAAUGCAAGCCUUAAAUUUUACUAUAAAUAAAUAUUAAAAUGUACUGCUUACCUGA